rnacentral:rRNA from 1 species
AUUGAACGCUGGCGGCAUGCUUUACACAUGCAAGUCGAACGGCAGCGCGGGGCAACCUGGCGGCGAGUGGCGAACGGGUGAGUAAUAUAUCGGAACGUACCCAGGAGUGGGGGAUAACGUAGCGAAAGUUACGCUAAUACCGCAUACGAACCAUGGAUGAAAGCGGGGGAUCUUCGGACCUCGCGCUCAUGGAGCGGCCGAUACCUGCUUAGCUAGUUGGUGAGGUAAAGGCUCACCAAGGCGACGAGCAGUAGCUGGUCGGAGAGGACGACCAGCCACACUGGGACUGAGACACGGCCAGACUCCUACGGGAGGCAGCAGUGGGGAAUUUUGGACAAUGGGCGCAAGCCUGAUCCAGCAAUGCCGCGUGAGUGAAGGAGGCCUUCGGGUUGUAAAGCUCUUUUGUCAGGGAAGAAACGGCUGCGGCUAAUAUCCGCGGCUAAUGACGGUACCUGAAGAAUAAGCACCGGCUAACUACGUGCCAGCCGCCGCAGUAAGAC